rnacentral:rRNA from 1 species
UGACUAACACCUGAUUAACCUGCCCUUGACUUUCUGACUCCCUCAAGAGACUGGCCCUAAUACCCCAUAAUAACUCCUGCUGCAUGCUGCGGAUUGCAUCGUCUCGGCGGUUAAGUAUGGACUCUCAGAUUAUCCCCCUGGUCGGAGUAUAUAGUCUUACCGGUGCUUUGACUGCUAGACGACCAUAAAUGGCCACCCUGCACGUUGGAACUGACAUACUGCCCCUAAUCCUACGGCAGGCCUCCUAGGGGAAUAUUGCACGAUGAAUCUAGCCCUGAGGCAGAAACCCCGAUGGCGCGACGACGCCCUUCCGAUUAUAGACCUCUAUCCCCUGUGAUCAGUCCUAAGUGACGAUAAUGACUAUACAAUCACCGGAUACCUCCGUGACCUCCGCCCCAGCGAUCCCUAUAGUGCGAGCGUUGCCAGCAUUUACUGGACUUACUGGGCUCAUAGGUGUCUCAUCCCGUCUGACGUGUCCGAUGUAAAGGGCGAAAGCUCUACCCUUUCGUAAGCAUCGGAAACUGUCAAGCUUGAGUGAAGGAGAGGCAAGUGGAAUUCCUAGUGUAGCGGUGGAAUGCGUAGAUAUUAGGAGGAAUACCGGUGGCGAAGGCGACUUGCUGGACUUCAACUGACGCUGAGGAACGAAAGCGUGGGUAGCAAACAGGAUUAGAUACCCUGGUAGUCCACGCCGUAAACGAUGAGUGCUAGGUGUCGGGGGUCAAACCUCGGUGCCGUCGUUAACACACUAAGCACUCCGCCUGGGGAGUACGUGCGCAAGCAUGAAACUCAAAGGAAUUGACGGGGACCCGCACAAGCAGCGGAGCAUGUGGUUUAAUUCGAAGCAACGCGAAGAACCUUACCAGGACUUGAAAUACUAGUGCCCACUUUAGAGAUAAAGUUUUUUCUUCGGAAACGCUAAUACAGGUGGUGCAUGGUUGUCGUCAGCUCGUGUCGUGAGAUGUUGGGUUAAGUCCCGCAACGAGCGCAACCCUUACUUCUAGUUGCCAGCACGUAAUGGUGGGAACUCUAGAGGGACUGCCGAUGAUAAAUCGGAGGAAGGUGGGGAUGACGUCAAAUCAUCAUGCCCUUUAUGUCCUGGGCUACACACGUGCUACAAUGGUCGGUACAGAGGGCAGCGAAAGAGCGAUCUCAAGCGAAUCUCAAAAAACCGAUCCCAGUUCGGAUUGCAGGCUGCAACUCGCCUGCAUGAAGUCGGAGUUGCUAGUAAUCGCAGAUCAGAAUGCUGCGGUGAAUGCGUUCCCGGGUCU